rnacentral:rRNA from 1 species
AUUGAACGCUGGCGGCAGGCCUAACACAUGCAAGUCGAGCGGAGGAAGGGAGCAUGCUUCUGGAUUCAGCGGCGGACGGGCGAGUAAUGCCUAGGAAUCUGCCUGGCAGUGGGGGAUAGCGUCCGGAAACGGGCGCUAAUCCCACAUACGUUCUGAGGGAGAAAGUGGGGGAUCUUCGGACAUCACGCUAUUAGCUGAGCCUAGGUCGGAUUAGCUAGUUGGUGGGGUAAAGGCCUACCAAGGCGACGAUCCGUAACUGGUCUGAGAGGAUGAUCAGUCACACUGGAACUGAGACACGGUCCAGACUCCUACGGGAGGCAGCAGAGGGGAAUAUUGGACAAUGGGCGAAAGCCUGAUCCAGCCAUGCCGCGUGGGUGAAGAAGGUCUUCGGAUUGUAAAGCACUUUGAGUUGGGAGGAAGGGCAGUAAGUUAAUACCUUGCUGUUUUGACGUUACCAACAGAAUAAGCACCGGCCAACUUCGUG